rnacentral:rRNA from 1 species
AAUGAAGAGGAAUGUUUAGUGGCGGACUGGUGAGUAACGCGUGAGGAACCUGCCUUUCAGAGGGGGACGAACAGUUGGAAACGACUGCUAAUACCGCAUGAAGCAGCGAGGGGACAUCCCCUUGCUGUCAAAGAUUUAUCGCUGAAAGAUGGCCUCGCGUCUGAUUAGCUAGUUGGUGGGGUAACGGGCUCACCAAGGCGACGAUCAGUAGCCGGACUGAGAGGUUGACCGGCCACAUUGGGACUGAGAUACGGCCCAGACUCCUACGGGAGGCAGCAGUGGGGAAUAUUGGGCAAUGGACGCAAGUCCUGACCCAGCAACGCCGCGUGAAGGAAGAAGGCUUUCGGGUUGUAAACUUCUUUUAACAGGGAAGAGAAGAAGACGGUACCUGUUGAAUAAGCCACGGCUAACUACGUGCCAGCAGCAGC